AAAAAAAAUCCGUCGUAAGGGGAGACUGACUAGUAAAACAACAACUAAAAGAAAAGCACUGAUGUUAAUUGUUAACUUAAAGACAGCAUAAACAGCCAUCCCAAGUAGAAGAUUUAGGAUCAAAGAUUCAUUGCCCUAAGUAAGAAGUAAAAUACGCAGUUCUAUGCAUGCAAUGGAUACAACUAAACAUAUAUGUACAGUUUACAUAGAUUCUCUUUCCACCAGUGAAAAAUAAACAUCAAUUUAACCAUAAAAGCAAUUUAAAAAAUUAACAAUCUUCUCUGCCACAACAAUUUAGGGUGCAAAGUGGUGAAAAUGAGUAAGAAUAUGGAGUCACCAUUCAGAUUUUGCAAUAUCAGAAACCCAAAAGAACAGAAAGCAGGUCAGCACAACAAGAAAUUUGGGAAAUGGAGUACGGAUUUACACAUGGGGAAGGCGUUAGGCGCCCAACAAUGUCAGUUAUAUAUGGUUGCUUGGCUCAUUAUGCAUCAAUCUCCAAAUUUAAAAUAAAAACCAAAGAAAAAUAAGACAUGUAAAGGCAAAGAAACUAAAAUAAAAACAACUUCUGAAUAUGUCAAACAUAAAGCGAUUUUGAAAGUACUAUCUUGGGGAUGUUGCAACUAGUGUCUGGGGACUUGUAUUUUGAAAUUGGAAAUUAGAUAAAUCAAGAAAACAAAAAGGAAGAAUUUCUUAAAUUUCGCAAAUAGCUGAAAUGGAAUUGAAGUGGAAAACAAAAUCAAGGGUCUAUUUCACAUUAAUAUUUGAGCUACCACUGAAUAUGUUAAUUAUAGACCAUUAAAAAAUAUAUUUAAGUUAAAUUUGACAAGUUUUAAUCACAAGAAGCCCAAAACUGUUAAACAACAGCUUAAAAUUGCUUUUUCCAACAACAUCAAAAGGGUGUUUUUCCAAUAGCAAGUUUGAAACUCAUCCUAAACAAGCUAUAAAAUGAUGUUUGUGCUAUCCUUCAACAACUAAGCGAACCUGUUUGGAAAAAAACAAUGUUACCUAUUGAGAACAAAAUAAAUA
rnacentral:misc_RNA from 1 species